rnacentral:rRNA from 1 species
UACGGAGGAGGCAAGCGUUAUCCGGAAUUCUUGGGCGUAAAGCGUCCGUAGGUGGCUCUUCAAGUCUGCUGUCAAAGAGUGGGGCUUAACCCUGCAAAGGCAGUGGAAACUGAAAGGCUAGAGAGCCGUAGGGGUAGAGGGAAUUCCCGGUGUAGCGGUGAAAUGCGUAGAUAUCGGGAGGAAUACCAGUGGCGCAAGCGGCGCCCUGGCCGUGACCUGACACUGAGCCACGACGGCGUGGGGAGCAAACGGG